GACGAACGCUGGCGGCGUGCCUAAUACAUGCAAGUUGAGCGCUGAAGGUUGGUACUUGUACCAACUGGAUGAGCAGCGAACGGGUGAGUAACGCGUGGGGAAUCUGCCUUUGAGCGGGGGACAACAUUUGGAAACGAAUGCUAAUACCGCAUAAUAACUUUAAACACAAGUUUUAAGAUUGAAAGAUGCUAUUGCAUCAAUCAAAGAUGAUCCCGCGUUGUAAUAGCUAGUUGGUGAGGUAAAGGCUCAACAAGGCGAAGAUACAUAACCGACCUGAGAGGGUGGUCGGCCCCAUUGGGACUGAGACCAGGCCCCAACCUCUACGGGGGGGAGCAGUAGGGGAUCUUCGGGCAUGGACGAAAGUCUGACCGAGCAACGCCGCGGGAGUGAAGAAGGGUUUCGGAUCGUAAAACUCUGUUGGUAGAGAAGAACGUUGGUUGGAGUGGAAAGCGCAUCAAGUGACGGUAACUACUCAGAAAGGGACGGCUAACUACGUG
rnacentral:rRNA from 1 species